AAAAGGAACAUGCAGAGGAGGUGCAGGUAACGGUGGAGGUAGAAACAGCAAAGGCAGCAGGGGGAAAGCACAAAUAUUCAGAGUAUCGAGGAGAAGUGAGACGCUUUGGGGCCUGAUUGGUGCUGGAGUCAGGCAGAGCGGCCGCAGAAGGAGCCUGGGUCUCUGUGCCCGAGGAGGAGCUCCCACGGCUUUGCUGUGCCCUUGAUACGUGGGAAAGGACGCGCAAGCGCCAGGCUCCUGUCUGCCCCUUGCAGCCCGGCUGGAGGGUUUUUAAGGACUAUAAAGUGCAAGCCUGGCUGAAGAGCGAACCUGUGAGGUGCCGUGCUGACCCCAGCCCCUGGUCUGUUCCCACGGAAGGCCUUUUUGGAUGCUCACAGGAACAGCUUGCCUUCAGAUUUAUCACGCCAACAGGCAGCAGUCGUAGAGGUCGGUGCCCUGCGCAGCCCUGCAGACCGGGUUUCCUGCUGGGAUGUCGCCUCCCAGGAUUCAUCCAGGCUCAGAAUCUGGAACCGACCUCAGAAGCAGCCGGAGUUAAGUGAAGUCAAGGGAACUGCUGCCAAGGAGAGGCCUGCGAGUGAAGCCAGCAUGGGAGAGGUUAGGGUAGGGUUUAUUUUUGGAAAAUCCAGAUUAUAAUUUAGAACAACCCUCUAAUUGUGAUUCUGCAUUUAUACAUGUUGAAAAAUACUGCUCAGGACAGAGUCUCCCAAGAAACACACGUUUUCCUUAAGGUUUGCUGGCAUCACUACAGCUAACAUGGGUGUAUUAGACAUUUUUAACACUCUGUCUUUUCAUGCAUUGAAAUACAAGUUUACUGUAAUGCCUGCUCCUUUGCCAAAAGUGAGUGAAAAAGUGUUGCUUCAAACUAUCUCCCCAGGUAAAAGCCAAAUGACUGAAAAUAUGAAGCUCUUCACUGUUAGUUAUUGUGUAUCCUCAUUUCCUGCCUAUAUUGCUGAACGCUCUGUUCUGACUGAACUCAAUGGUUUUUUCCUAUUUUUGUCUUCUUUCAAUGACAAAUGAUACUUAGACUACCACAUAGUAAAACAAUGAGAAUCAUAGCUACUCCUUUGGCAUUUUUUUAUGUUUACUGUGUAUUUCAUUUGCAAUAUUAGGUUGAAAAUGAAUUUCAACAAAUUUCUUGAAUACCUGACAAGGUAAUAAUAGCAAGUCGUAAAUGACUUUUUUAAGAAUUUUUUUAAAGUAUGAACAUUGGCAACUCCCUUCUCCAUUUGUGUAUGUGUUUCUGCCCUGCCUGUCCAGGAUACAACCUCUUUACGGAAAUAUUCCCUCUUCUAUGCCUGCUGCAAGUGGCACACAAUGGAGCCUCAUUACUCAACAGAGACUCUGUGCCAUGAAAAAUAAAUAAUUAAACCUCAACUAUUUCAGUAGGUAAAUACUGCCUUUCUCACUUGUGUGCACAGAGCAGCCAGUGUUCCAUGUCUCCAGCAAUCUCCUCUAGGGGUUCAACCCCCGUGAAGACCUCUGGUAUGAAACCUUCACGUGCUGGGAACACUGUUUGUCACCCCCUGGGACUGUCCUGGGGUGAAGGGAUCAGCUGGGAUACGAGUCCCCACCCCUCCUCGGGCUGCUGGGUUGGAGUCAAGGGAAGUUUAUGACCAAACUAUGUGUCCAUCACACUCAUGGACCCUUCUAGAGCUAUAGUUUCUAUAUGUGCCAGGAAGCAUUCAUUUUCUGCUCCCCCCCAUGUUUUUUCUCUAGUUCAGCUAAGGUUGGUUUUAUCAUAGCUGGCAUGGUACGUGGCCUGGGAGUUUCACACAAAUACUCUAGAAGAUGAAAUGCUGUUUGGCUUCCAUUGAAAGAGAGAAGAAAUGCAGACCUGCCUACCUGGGAUUCUCUGGCUCCACAGUUUUGAGGUGGAGGAGACUGUUAUCAAAGGGGAAAUCCCACCGUGCAAAUGAAAACCAGCAUUCCUGGUCAGUGCUCAAGAUCUGCAGAGGGAAAUGGAAACAGGAGCAGCCAGGUAGCAGUCAGAGGGUGCAACAGCUAUGCUUGCAGGGUGAGGUGUGCAACAAGACGGCCCUUUGGAGGGAUGCUGGCUCUGCUCCACCUGUGACCGCUGGGCUCUGCUACGAAAUGGCUACUAGUGUGACGGAGGAAGAGUGCUGCCGGAACCUGGCAAGUCCAAAGGCCUGCCUGACAGAGGCCGAAUGGGAUGGCAAGUCUGCAGACAGUCGUGUAGAAAAACUUGGGAAAAGGUGGUUGUGGUCCAGGCUCCAGAUGGGGAGCCAGUAGCAGUGGAGGCACGUGAGGGCAAAGGCUGUGACCGUGAGUCCUGCCGCCGAUGAGAGCUGCCCGAGCCGGGAGAAGCUGGCUGGGGUGUGCCGCCAGCUUGUUGGUUCAGUGCUAACCGUGACCCAGCUGCUGUGGUAGGAGAGGGAAAGCAAACAGGGCUGGCACAGGCCUCAGAAGUUGAACUUCAUGAACUCCUACCAGAUGGAGUUACACCAGCAAUUAAUUUGGUGCAAUGACUUGUGCAGAACUGCACUGGAAAUCGUUGCAAGAUGGAUCAAGCCAUUAGCAAUAGGAAAACAGCAUUGCAAAACUCCAAACACCUCCUUCCAAGUGUUAUGCACUCAGUUUCCACUGAAAUUAAUAGAAAUAAUAUAAUUGGGGUGCUUGGAUUCCUGCCGGAUCACUGCAAUGGGUAACUGGGGUAUAGCUUCUGGAGGUACCUGCUCAAAAGUAAACUGAGAGUGCUGAGUGGUGAGACAUGACCUAGAUGGGAAACAGUUCUUGUGCUUCUAUUUUCCUAAAACCUUCUGUAGGUGACAUCUUGCUGUUUCUCUUGGCAAACAUGUAUCUCUGGCUUCUGUUUGGGGACUGUCAGGGCUUGCUGCUGCUACAAAAACUUCAAUUUUAAUAUGAAACCCUAUAUAUUCUGAUUAAUGUUUCCAUCAAGCUUAGUCCUGGGUAAACAUUGUGUAAUGUUAGCAUUCAUCAGUGAACUUGCACAAUCCCCUUGAAAAAAUAUUGGGGGGGGGGAAGUUUCCAGUCUAGAAUGAAUAUUACAGCCACAAAAAGAUCUUCUAUGUAAAAGAGAAUCACUUCCCUCUCUUUCAGAAAUUAAUGAUCUAAUCACAAGUAGAUCGUUUACUUUUCAGUGCAUUACUGCCUGAUUAGUCAAGUGCUGAUGCAAUGGAACUUAACUGCUGUGAUCUUACCAAGUAGGUAUCUGCUUGGAGUGACAUUUAUACAGAACGGGCAGGUAGUCUUUUUGUAAAGCAGAACCUUUAUGUGUCUUCAGCUUCACGCUUCUAUAUUUCUAUUACCACCAGUCACCACUUCAGAUGAGACAGCACUAUUCUCUUUUGGAGCUGGUAUCUAAUUGCACAUCACAGAUCAGUUGCUAAAGAAGCACACAGCCUUUAUGAAAUAUCAUUUUAGGAAUUGCUCCAAACAGACGAGAUUAUACACGUUACUGUUUCCAAAGUGAAUUAUGGAAACGCAGGAAGGGCUUAAUUUCUGUUGGCAAGAAGGCCUGACUGCUAGACCUCAGCCUCUGGAAGAGCAACAGAAGAAGAGAUUCCAUCCUGAGAGGUGCUAAGCUCCUGUUGCUGCUGCCAGAAGAGUGAAGGCGGUGUGGGGCAUCCCAUGUGAUUGGGGGAACUUGAGGAGCAGCACAGGACAGGGACCCGGUUGCUUCCAACUAAAGGAAUCUUGUGUAUGUAAACAAGGUUUAGUAGCAAAGUAUCGAGUCCAGGAAAUUAUUUCUGGCAAGGAGGAUAAGCUUUCCUUUUGAGAGGAGUGCAAUUACUGCUCUGUUGUUCUCAUAGUUCCCUCUCAACUUAGUCUUGGCUGUGUCUCCAGUGAGAAAGUACUACUUGGAAAAAAAAUAAGGAAUUUGAGAGCACAUAGGGGAAAAAACCCCCACCCAGAUGUCAUUUUACUAAUUUCAAAAAGUGAACUGAGGAGGUAAGAACAUCAUAAUAGCUAUAUAUUUUUACUUUGAAAGGGCCAAUCAGUAGUGAAAUUAAGCAAUGGAGGUUUUUGGGUAGGAACAUGAAAAGAUAAAUCCCUGUAAGUUACUGAACACCAGGGUCUAACAGUAGAGCACCUGCUGAUUUACACUUGCUAUGUUUGUUUACUCUCUUCAAAAUAUGUAGCACCAGGAGCAUGAUUUGUGUAUUUCUAAGAAAGAAAACUAAAAUAUUGCUGUUCCUAUUCUGUCACAGAUCCUAAUUUUCCAGUCAUGGGACAGGUUUCCUGUAGAAGUAACUCCACUGACUAAAUUGAUGCACUUAUACCAGGGAGAGCUGAUGUAGCAAGAUGAGAAUCAAGCUCAUAGGCCAAAACUUUCAAAAAUAAGUAUGUAAAAUUAGCUGCCUAAUUCCAUAGAUAGGAACCUGAGUAGAGGUGGGCUGAUUAAAAAUGUUGCAGAUUGACAAAGUCUGCUGAAGACAAUGGGAGUUGGAGAUGUGUUUUCCUCUGAAAAUCGGACUGUUUUAUUUACAUGCCCAAAUACUUCUAUAGGUUAAUGUUGGAUUGAUGGUUUUAAUUUCCUAUCCCUAUGUAUAACCCAGUACCCUGGGUUCUCAUGUAGUACUCCAUAGAAUGUGAACAUAGCCCACCUUGCCAGACUUUCUGAUCUGACAGUUUAUGUUUGGGGACUGCAAACAAAAAGAUGAGAUGAAUUUACUUUCCUCUCUUUGAUCCUGAGGCAAGCCCCAAAUGUAACUGAGAGGGGCCUACAGGCUGGUCAGAAUUAUGCCUCUGAGAAGCUUUCUGGAGGAACUCCUGCACAGGCUGGAGAUGCACACAGAACAAAACCUCUUCUGCAGCUCCCACCAUCGAGUUUUUCCUGCCAGCGUGAAACAAAGCAAGUGGAGGAAGUCUGGAAGCACUGCCUUAAUGCCACUCAGAUAUCUCUGCGUGACGUAGUGAGCCACGUUACCUGGAAAGUGUAAGGAUGGGAAGUGCAGCUUGGGCAUUUCUAAUGUAUUUUUGAAUCUGUAUCUGUUGAUGCUACUGAUAUACUUAAAUCUAGAUGUUAAAUAAAGAUGCAUGGGGCUAAAACAUAUACUCAGAAGUAUUGGAGGCUGAAGCCAACAGCAGUAACACAAAGAUAGGCAUACAUACAGAAGACAAUUUUCUCAAGCUAUCCUUGCUACUGCAACUGUAGGUAUCUUGACAAAGAACUAGGAUGAAUUGUCUUCCACUCAACUAGAAUCACUUACCUGUACAUACUGAUGAAUUAAAAACAAAUCCAAAAUGGUUAUAAACCCUAAAAGUAAAGUUUUAGAAUAUACUGACAUUUUAAUUAUAUUGGUUUACAAUUCUCUCAGUUUCAGUAACAGCUGGCUCUUCUGUUCUUGUGGACUAAUAAAUUCCUACAAGCACAUAACUCAUUUCUAUUUAAUGCUCUUUCCAAAGUGGUUACUACUGGUGACAAAUUACAGUUGAUUCUUCAUAGGGGUUUUUUGGUACAUUUCACAUUUGUUUAAUUGCAUACUGUAUCUCCUAGUUUAUAUCUGAUUGUCUUCAUUCUUUGCCUAUAAUAUUCUCCCGAGUGCAGUGACUUUAUACCACAGAGGUGGCAGCCAUGUCAAAAGCAGCUGUGUCACAUCACUUAACAGGCAGUAAUUGUCUCCAGGAAUCACAGGAAUCUUGAUCUGCUGCAUCAGACAUUUCUUUGACAGCUAAAGCUGAAAAGACACUUGGGGAUAUAACCUAAAAUACACUCAGUCCUAGGUUGCAGGGACUGUGCCAAAAGUGUAAAGUGCUGAAGUUCUGAAGGAAAACACAGAUGUACAUUUAUCUUGAUUUAUUAAAAAAAAAACCACCCAAACUUCAUUUCUAUAUGAACGAGGCUUAUGUGACAACACUGUGUCAUGCUGCCCUAAGUAGGGAUUUUUUUUUUUUUUUAAUCCAAUGGCCAGUUUCAGCCAAGCUUCACGUGUGGGUAGUGUUCAUAAGUCUGAUGCAGUUCAGGAAAAGGGGGUAAAGCGGCCCUGUUACGAUUUCCACUGAGGAAGAGGCUGCCACCAAGACUCAUUCUUUUCAACACCAGAGACCGUAUGUGUGAGAGCUGCCGUGACUGCACGCAUGCUGCAGCCCAAGGUCUCACCGGUCUAGACACCAAAGUUAAUCAACCGAGAGACGCAAACUGAUAAGAAACCUGUUUUUGACCCUGCUCGUGCUCCCAGAAGUAUGUGUUGGUCUAGACUUGGCAGUGGGAGGCAGUUAAAGUUCUCUCAGCGUUUCUAAGCUAAUCCUGCUUUUGUGCGAUAUGUAAUGCAGCCAUAUGCUUUUCAGAUGUUUUAACCUGAUGUUCAGCUUCUGACGUCAGAAAUGCAUUUCAGUACUGUCGUUGUUCUCAAAAAUUUCCAAGUAUGUGUAAGCGAAUUCCCAUGGUUGAAGCCCCUUAUGCCAUAGUUUCUCUGUGUAUUCAUGGAGCGCUCAUCAUUUGGUUGGUGACUGGGAGGAAAUUUAGGAGUUCAAGGCCAUUUUUAGCCAUUUUAGCCUAAGUCCACAAAUUUGUUUGGGAUGUUUAUUGGGAUGUUUAUCCUUAUUUUGCCUUUACUAUUAUACAUGAAAUAUUGUAUAAUUAAA